rnacentral:rRNA from 1 species
UACGUAGGUGACAAGCGUUGUCCGGAUUUACUGGGCGUAAAGAGCGCGCAGGCGGUCGAUCAAGUCGAGUGUGAAAGCCCCGGCUCAACUGGGGAGGGUCAUUCGAUACUGAUCGACUCGAAGGCAGGAGAGGGUAGUGGAAUUCCCGGUGUAGUGGUGAAAUGCGUAGAUAGUCGGGAGGAACACCAGUGGCGAAGGCGACUACCUGGCCUGUUCUUGACGCUGAGGCGCGAAAGCUAGGGAGCAAACGGG